rnacentral:rRNA from 1 species
UAGGGAAUCUUCGGCAAUGGACGAAAGUCUGACCGAGCAACGCCGCGUGAGUGAAGAAGGUUUUCGGAUUGUAAAACUCUGUUGUUAGGGAAGAACAAGUAUCGGUUAAAUAAGCCGGUACCCUGACGGUACCUAACGAGAAAGCCCCGGCUAACUACGUGCCAGCAGCCGCGGUAAUACGUAGGGGGCAAGCGUUGUCCGGAAUUAUUGGGCGUAAAGCGCGCGCAGGCGGUCUCUUAAGUCUGAUGUGAAAGCCCACGGCUCAACCGUGGAGGGUCAUUGGAAACUGGGAGACUUGAGUGUAGGAGAGGAAAGCGGAAUUCCACGUGUAGCGGUGAAAUGCGUAGAGAUGUGGAGGAACACCAGUGGCGAAGGCGGCUUUCUGGCCUAUAACUGACGCUGAGGCGCGAAAGCGUGGGGAGCAAACA